AGUGGAUGUUUCGAAUGUUUAGCUGCCUAUAAAGCUGAAACAGUUUUACUCGUGCCCUCCAAAUGGCAAAUGGAUCCAGCCUAAGUCGCAUGCAUGUGAGAGUCCUGACCUCAACAUGAUUUGACCUCUGAAGAUGGAAAAAACGCUACAACGGGGCUGACUGGAAACUAAAAUCCAAGCAAGAACAGAUGAAAUGCAACAUCUACAGAGCAAGAAAGAAAACAAUUUCUCGGGAAGGGGGUGGUGAUGGUAAAGGUGCAUGCGAAAUUUUUAAUGUCUCGUGAACAUUUUCUCUUUAGUUGCUUUCAGCUGACAAGCAUGAUGAGUUUAUCCUUCUUUGGGAUUCCUAGCAGCCUUAUCCUGGAUACUUUACUCAGUCUUGCAGGCACAAGGAACUUAUCUCUACACGUCCGGACUUCAGUAUUUAGGAACAAGUAGGAGAUACCUAUUAACAAUAUUGCUCGCGUUUUGGUUAUAACUAUAUUAGAAAGUGAAAUAUGUAUUCACUGACACCUCCCCCCUGCUCCCCCUCCCACAUAAUGAAGAGCUGAAUCAGCGAAUAGAGUGAACGAACACUCAAGAUGAGAUGGCUGCUGCUGAUGUCUCUCUCUAGGUCAUUACCUCUCUUCCAACUGCAAAUGCUGCAUGAUAAGCUUACAGGUAACAGAGAAUUAGAAAUCCUGAAUUAUGCCACAUGUUUCAAGGAUUCCUGUCUGCAGGACUCUUAAAAUGCUCUACUUAAGCGUUUAUCUAAAUAAGGAGUCCAGUGAAAACAUAUUUCCUGUAUCAGAUCACAAAUCCAGCUUUACAAAUGUGAUUAUACAUCUCUCAAAACUAUAGUCUACAUAUUUCAUCUCUUUUAAAAAAUCUGACCUCAUAAGUGCAAGCAAAUUCUAAAUGAUUCUUGCACAUAAAUCUUGUCCUUUUGAUACCACACUAAACAGAUUCAACAGAACAAUGUGGAAUGUAUUAGGCCGCUAUAUAUCUCAUGUGUAUCCAAACAGAUAACUGUGGCAAGCCUGCGAAUAAUUCUGUUGUGAAAUUCAUGAACUAUCAUGAGAAGUUAACUAUUCCAAAAUUAUUUAGUAAGGAUCAGCUCACAGUAUGAGCAUUACAGUCAACUAAUCCUGCAGUUUAUGUCCACCACCCCACCCCUUUAAAGUUUGUCAUCUCUGCAACAUCCUCAGACAUUUCAAAAAAACAAAAAACGAUGGGAAGAAAAUAUAUCUGGGACUUUUAAAAAGCAGAAUAUUAUUUCAAUUUCAUUUGGAUAUUUGGCUUCAAGCAUCAAUAUACAACAGACUGAACGAUGAUUGAAGGUACCAAAGGCAACUCAAGCUCAAAGUGGAGUACAACUCCCAUUUCAUGAAGGUAUUUUGUACAGCCAAUCUUCAGUGACUGUUCUUCAUUUGCAAACUUCGCAGACAGAAAGCGGCAGCAACGAAAGUCCAGAAAAGUACUUGAAAUCUUCAUGACAGAAUAAUGAAUAUUAAUAUGCUCUAAACUACUGAGCAGGUAAACUACACUGUGGAAUUUACACUCAGUAAUAAAGCCAAUUUUAUAUUAAGAAUUAAAAAACACUGUUCUUGGAACUAAUUGGGAACAAUCAUUUUGCACCUUAGGAUAAUGGAGAGCAAGAAAAAUGCUUUUCAGCAUCAUCAUCCAGCAGAUAGUUCAGCAAUUAUCAAAACCUGCCCAGAGCACAUACUUCUUUAUGUACCCAUAUGAAGAUAGAACACUAUGGAAUGUAAAGAAGUAUGUAUUUUUGGCAAGUGAGAACUACCAGUAAGAGAAAGCUGAACAAAAGAGGAACUCUCUUUCAGUGUUCUCUCUAAUUGUUUUCAUCUGUGUGUGGAAUUAGAUUUGUUCAGGGAGGCAGAAUCAAGGCAGUGUGUGUGCACAUGCAUUCAGGGUGUGGCCUUCCUGAUUCAACCUGAGCGGGAUCGAAAAUUAACUGAGCGGACAUUUUAAAAAUGUGUGAGAGUGUGCACAUGCACACGCCUUAGAGGGAACACUGCUCUCUGGUCUACUUUAGGUGAAAUUAACUUAUAAUGGUACCAGGCAAAAAGUAAUAUGAAAGCACUUAUUUAGAAUAAUGUUGUAAAACAUUAACAUUUGCCUAAAACAUGAAGGGUGUUAAGUGUGCUAUUCAUUAGCAACAAUCCAACUUUGGUUGUACAGGCAUAUAUUUUCUAUAAAUUCCAAAUGUAAGGAAAUAAAAUCAAUCACAUUAGAAUAUGUAAUAAAAUUCAACGUUAUUGUCCGAAUAUUACUACUAACCAUCAAAAAUGUUAAUUGAUCAAACUUGUAAGGUUUUCUAGCCAGAACUGUCUUCUAAAAAACCCUAAGUGUCUAGUUCUGGAAGGUUUUUGGGAAAUUAUCUAUAGCCAUCAAGUAGUACACUGAUUAAGAUGAAGUUUGACAGCUAAACUUCUGUACAUAAAGAUAUGAAAAAUGUGAUUAAAAUGUAUUAAACAUACCUGAAGUUCUUUCUAGGGAUGCGCACAAGAUGGUUUGGCACAUCCUUUGGGAAGCACCAAAGUGGCUCGGGCACCCACAGCCGAACCAGUUCGGCAGGGCAGGGAGCGGUUCCCUUAAGGAGCAAGUAAGCAGGUCGUUACCUGCUCCGCUGCCACCCGGCUGCUUUUCCAGGCACAGUGCUUGCUCAAGCAAAGGCUGCGCACACAGAUGUGGUGCUGUUCCCAGAAGGCUGCAUGUGGCAUUGGCAUACACAUGGCCAGUGUAUGCCGGCCAUGUGCAUGCUGAUGCGGCCUGCAGGGAACAGCACUCAGAAAUGGGAGAGGGGUGGAAGCGGAGCAGUUAAGGACUUGUUUACCUGCUCCUUAAGGGAACUGCUCCCCGCCCCACCCACACCUGCAUAAAUGGCUCAUGAACAUCCUUAGGUCUUUCCACACAUUCAUCAUAAUGUGCAAGCUCAACCCACAGACGAAAGAUUGACCUUUGCUCAUCUUACCUACCUGCCUCGAGUGUUUAGUUAGAAAUCUGUCAUGCAUUUAUUUGCUUACUUGCAACCCUUGGUGUCAUAGGCAGUAUGCCAAUGACACCAAUUGUGCUUGCUUCCCUUUGCUGAUGUGUCGGAACACAAGUGUUAUGUGUGUCAAGACCUAUGCACGUGGUCUAAUCUUUACUCCAAUAGUUUUGAAGAAUAAAGAUCUUGAGUUAUUGGAUGCUCUUUUGGAAAAACUGACAUGCUAUUCAGAAAUAAGUGUGCUGACGCAAUGCAGGCAGGUUGUGAUUCUACAGCCAUACUGUGUGUUUAAUAUACUCAGUUCAGAGUUAGUAUCAACAGGACUUAAGUAACUUGGUCUUGAAAGGCCCAACAUGAUAUUUAAGCAGAUCAUCAAAUGCUAAGAGGAAAUAAGCAGCUAUUGUGAUGCAUGGCAAGACUGCUAAUUGUACAAAAGCAUGAGAAGUAAAUAAAUGUGUGAGAAAAUGCAAAAUAGGUAGUUUACAUUUAUGGUGCAGUGGUGUCUAGGCCAUCUUGCACCAUUUACUAGAUUAUGUGACAAGCAGCCUCUAUAUUCCCAUUCAGUUAACACACGAGUCUUCUGCCACAAACCAGAUGCAACUAGUUUCCAAGGUCUCAAAGACAGAAAUCUGAGUUUUCUGGCUGGUAUCCAGAAUGCUAUUUUUAUUAAAAGCAGCAAUAAGUAUUUGAAUUGGCUUACAGAAAUUUGCAACAAUACUGCUAUUGGUUAACUCUCCACCAAAAAACCUACAAUUAAAUGUCUGCCCUAUUCAGUAGGGCAGACAUUGGUGAGAACCAUGUGAAAAAUAGAGCUGAAACAUAUUAAAAAGAUGCGAUUUCACCUCAGAUAGAUUAAUGUUCCAUUUCACGAGCCCAACUACUCAAAUAUUACAGAUGCUCUAACAUGAAAUCCAAUAAUUAUUAAACAGAGGUACAUUUAGAUAUUAAGAUUUUCACAGAUGAAGUUAUGGACUCUAACGUUUCUCAUUAUGUGGAAAACCCACCAAAAAUUUCCAAAAUUUAUCUUAUAACUAUAUACAUUUGUACACACAAAGAUCAUUCUAAGAUGGUUGAUAAUGUUGAAAAGUUAUCAACAUGACUAUAAUAAUAUUUAUAAUCAGAGUGUUGAAGUAACUAGCAGCAAAGUUGGCACAGCUAUUUAUAAAGUACUGUCCAUUUCUACUAGUAGCACAUCUAAUAACCUAUUGAAGAGUCACAUUUAAAAUUUACUUUGUAUAUGAGCUGCAAAUUAUGUAUAUUCUCCUGCAGCACUAUUGUAAACAAAAAGCAGAACAAAACUUAGAUAAAACCUCUGAGGACUCAUGUUAGUAUUUCUCUUAGAACGCUGUCAGUUAUUCUAAAAUGUCACCUCCAUCAUUUAGAUCAGCUGUUGAAUUCUAGCUAAGCACAAGUUGAACUGUGGACAUCUGCUGACACAGUUGUAACUCAAACAUCUGAACCAUUUUACUGACAAGGGUAACAGAUGCUGACAUUAUCAAAUGCUACUAUGCUUCUUUCCAUGGUCAUUUUGUCCCGAUAUGGCCAGUACAUGAAACUCUAUUGCCAUCCAAAGCAACACUUGAGCAGCUGGACCUGUACAACAGUUUCCAUGUUACUGAUAAAAAUAGACACCAGUUUUUAUAGCUGCCUUAAAUGUUCUAGUCCAAGCAACACACACUAUGUGUAUCAACUGCUUUGAAAACCUUUUUGUUGAAAAGUGGCAUGUAAAUAAUAAAUAAUAAACAUGACAAAAAUGUGUAUUUACAAAAAUCUUACUUCCACCAGCAGACUCUGCACAAUUUACAUUUAAUGUAUGAUUAUCAUGUGGAUUGAACUAAUACUGCAGCUCUCUAACUUGGCUAAGUAUUCAAAGGCUUUCAGCGAAAUACUAUUUUUUGACAUCUGCCAUUUUAAAAAACCAUUAAUUUUUAGCAUGCAGACUGCAUGACCAUUUAACUCCAGUGUCAGAUUUUGCAAUAUGUAACUAUAACUUCAACCCAAAAAAGGUGCAAACAAAAAAAGUUUGCUUCCAUCAAAAUGUUAUGUUCCAUCUAUACGCAAAGAGGAAUGUUACUACAAAAAAAGCCUUACAAAACAGUAUUUACUCUGGAUAUAUAAAAUUGGGUUUAUACUUGAGAACAGUUUCAGAAGCACUCGACUAUUACAAGUAGCAAGCUGAAACACUGCUCCAUAUUCACCUCCCCAAUCAGCCAUCCUAAUCAAAAGUUACAGUGAAAUGUACAGUAGUAUUGCCUCACUAAUAUACUUCCUUUGGGGUAAUAAUGAUCCCCAAAGAGUCAAGACACAUAUAUUCUUAGUAUAGCAAAACUAAAUGAUAAGGAAAAGUUCUAAAUUUUAAGGGCUGUUUUUUUAUUUUAUGAUAAAGAAAAUCUAUGCCUACAAAAAUCAUGAGGGCAAGGAGCUAAUUAUUCUAAGCCAUGUGUUUCUUCUGUGACCUACCAAACACUUGGGUUUCACUUAAAACAACUCACCUCUACUUUAUGAAAAGCUGGAAGUAGUGAAAUCCCAGGAAUUUCAAACUGACAACAAUGUAUACUUCUUACAAUGUCCUUUAGCACAAAUAUUAAAUAGCUGUACCCUUCCUAAACUUCAAUGCUUUGCUAAAGCUGGUAAAAUGGAACCAAAUCACCUAUUUAAUGGAUUUGGUCCCCUUCAACCAGCUGUAGCUAUGUAUUGAUCACUACAGGACAAUGCUUUUAUCAGCAAGGUAUUUUAAUAAGGGGAAUAUGAGAAUAUGCAAGAAAAAAUGUCCUUAGCAAUGGUUAAGUACAUAAUUUCAAGCAAGCUAUACAGUAAGAUUGAGCAUCACUACCAACUCUGGGCAAUCUAAAAAGAAGAUAUUUGCUUUCCAAGGAAGUUCUAUAUUAGAAAUUAUUCCCAUGCUGUAUAUUAAUAAAUCCUUGAGACUUG